AUGGCUACACAACCAUUCAAAGUUCUUGUGUGGAAUGUCAGGGGGCUCAACUCUCCGGCGAGACGGAGUGCCAUCUAUCAAGCAGUAACAAAUGCGAAUCCGUUAGUAGUAUGUUUUCAGGAGAUGAAGCUCCAAGUUGUAUCGCCCAAAAUAGUGAAUCAUUGCCUGGGUAAUAGAUUCGCGAAGUUUGACUACCUACUAGCUAUGGGAACCCAUGGUAAAAUUCUAAUUGCAUGGGAUGCCACUAUGGCAUCGGUCUCAAGCCCGCACCGCACCACGAACACACUCACGGGGCUGGGCAGGCCACCAAGCGGAGGCCAAUGGUGGCUAACUGGGGUAUAUGGGCCCCAGGGCAAUGAGGACAAGAUUGAGUUCCUUCAAGAGCUAGUCGACAUCCAAGACUUACAUGCGGGGCCCUGCCUAGUGGCGGGAGACUUCAACUUAGUGGUUAACCUAGAUGACAAGAAUAACAGCAUGGUGAAUCACUAUAUGAUGGCUCGAUUUUGA
rnacentral:rRNA from 1 species